GGCAGAGACCUUCCGGGGAGAGACUGGGUGACCUGUGAUCAGACCCGCAACCCUGCUUCCCCGUGGGGUCCCCCCGCGACUGGGACUCCCAGUCUCAGGAUACAUGUGAGCAUCGUUGCAGCUCUGCACUGGUCAAGCCACAUUUGGGGACAGAGACCAAUAGAACUCUAGGGAAAAAAGAACCAGAAAGAACGACUGUUCUAGGCCUCAGCUCAAUGCACAUCCCAACCUUCCAAACCCAGCCUUGAACCGCAUAAAACACUCCACAGAACUGCAGUGCCAGGCAGGAAGGAAUGAACUACAACUUGGGGACCUGCGUGUGACUAGUACCUUUCGUGCUGAGGAGCAGUAGUUCAUCAUUGGAGCAAUUACCUGGACCUAGGAACCAAG